CGGCAGGGUAGCCUAGUGGUUAGAGUGUAGGGACGGCAGGUAGCCUAGUGGUUAGAGUGUAGGGACGGCAGGUAGCCUAGUGGUUAGAGUGUAGGGACGGCAGGUAGCCUAGUGGUUAGAGUGUAGGGACGGCAGGUAGCCUAGUGGUUAGAGUGUAGGGACGGCAGGUAGCCUAGUGGUUAGAGUGUAGGGACGGCAGGUAGCCUAGUGGUUAGAGUGUUGGACUAGUAACUGGAAGGUUGCAAGUUCAAAUCCCCGAGCUGACAAGGUACAAAUCUGUUGUUCUGCCCCUGAUCAGGCAGUUAACCCACUGUUCCUAGGCAGUCAUUGAAAAUAAGAAUUUGUUCUUAACUGACUUGCCGAGUUAAAUAAAGGUCAAAUAAAUACAAAUGUAUCAUCUGGGAUAUUUUGGGGGGGAGAUUUCUGUAACUUAUUCAAAUGUAUUUUGAGGUAAAUAGCAGCACUGAAAUCUGCCUAAAAUAUAAUCUCCGGAAAUCAAUCAGAGGUGCAUAAAAGACAGUAGAGGGACAACGUGGAUGUCUUUCAACGACACUGCCGUGACCACAGACCUGACAGAGGAAAGCAUCUGUACGACGAGGUACCCCCCCUUUCUCCCAGACCAGCUUCGAGGUAACCCCCCUUUCUCCCAGACCAGCUUUGAGGUACCCCC
ensembl:lncRNA